UACGUAGGGGGCAAGCGUUGUCCGGAAUCAUUGGGCGUAAAGCGCACGUAGGCGGACUAUUAAGUCAGGGGUGAAAGCCCGGGGCUCAACCCCGGAAGCGCGCUCGAUACUGCCGAACUUGGGUCCUGAAGAGGAGAGCGGAAUUCCCGGUGUAGAGGUGAAAUUCGUAGAUAUCGGGAGGAACACCAGUGGCGAAGGCGGCUCUCUGGGCAGGUACCGACGCUGAGAUGCGAAAGCGUGGGAAGCAAACAGG
rnacentral:rRNA from 1 species